AUAAUAAUUAGUCUUUUUAUUGGAGGCUGGUAUGAAAGAUUGAACGAGAUAAAUUCUGUCUCAUUAAAAAUAAUGUUUAAAUUUAAUUUUUGAGUUAAAAAGCUUAAAUUUAAUUAAAGGACGAGAAGACCCUAUAGAACUUUAUAAUUAUUAAUUAUUAAUAUUUUUAAGUAAAAUUAUUUAAUUGAAAUUUUAUUUUUAUUAAUUUUUAUGUUGGGGCGACAGGAAAAUUAAAUAAACUUUUUUAAUUAUUAAAAUACAAAUAAGUAAAUUUUUGACCCUUUUUUAUGGAUUAAUAGAUUAAGUUACCUUAGGGAUAACAGCGUAAUUUUUUUUGAGAGGUCAUAUUUAUAAAAAAGAUUGC
rnacentral:rRNA from 1 species